rnacentral:lncRNA from 1 species
AUUGUCUUGUCAAUGUACCGAACCAUUUGAUCUGCACUGAGGGGAUUACCUUGAUGGCGCCUGCUGUUCCUCUCACGCCAAAUACUAUGGAUGCUAGCUUGGAGAGCAAGCUUCAGAAGACAUGUAUCAAUCUCCCUCCUGCGAGGAGAUAGAAGAGAUGCGACGGUGAUAUUCCAAUCAGGAUUCAUACGAGAACCCAAGAGGAACC